rnacentral:rRNA from 1 species
CCUACGGGCGGCAGCAGUGGGGAAUAUUGGGCAAUGGGCGAAAGCCUGACCCAGCAACGCCGCGUGAAGGAAGAAGGCUUUCGGGUUGUAAACUUCUAUUAACAGGGAAGAGCAGAAGACGGUACCUGUCGAAUAAGCCACGGCUAACUACGUGCCAGGAGCCGCGGUAAUACGUAGGUGGCGAGCGUUGUCCGGAUUUACUGGGGGUAAAGGGCGUGUAGCCGGGCUGACAAGUCAGAUGUGAAAUCCGGGGGCUCAAACCCCGAACUGCAUUUGAAACUGUUGGUCUUGAGUAUCGGAGAGGCAGGCGGAAUUCCUAGUGUAGCGGUGAAAUGCGUAGAUAUUAGGAGGAACACCAGUGGCGAAGGCGGCCUGCUGGACGACAACUGACGGUGAGGCGCGAAAGCGUGGGGAGCAAACAGGAUUAGAUACCCGUGUAGUC